ACUCCUACGGGAGGCAGCAGUGGGGAAUAUUGCACAAUGGGGGAAACCCUGAUGCAGCAACGCCGCGUGGAGGAUGACACAUUUCGGUGCGUAAACUCCUUUUAUAUAGGAAGAUAAUGACGGUACUAUAUGAAUAAGCGCCGGCUAACUCCGUGCCAGCAGCCGCGGUAAUACGGAGGGCGCAAGCGUUACUCGGAAUCACUGGGCGUAAAGAGCGUGUAGGCGGAUAGAUAAGUCAGGAGUGAAAUCCUAUGGCUCAACCAUAGAACUGCUCUUGAAACUGGUAACCUAGAGUAUGGGAGAGGUAGAUGGAAUUUCUGGUGUAGGGGUAAAAUCCGUGAGAUCAGAAGGAAUACCGAUUGCGAAGGCGAUCUACUGGAACAUUACUGACGCUGAGACGCGAAAGCGUGGGGAGCAAACGGAUUAGAUACCCUGGUAGCUACGAG
rnacentral:rRNA from 1 species